rnacentral:rRNA from 1 species
AACGUAGGAGACAAACGUUAUCCGGAGUUACUGGGCGUAAAGGGCGUGUAGGUGGUUUCAUAAGUCUGGCGUGAAAUUUUUCGGCUUAACCGGGAAAGGUCGUCGGAUACUGCGGAACUAGAGGACGGUAGAGGCGUGUGGAAUUCCGGGUGUAGUGGUGAAAUGCGUAGAGAUCCGGAGGAACACCAGUGGCGAAGGCGACACGCUGGGCCGUACCUGACACUGAUGCGCGACAGCAUGGGGAGCAAACAGG